rnacentral:rRNA from 1 species
CCUACGGGGGGCAGCAGUGGGGGAUAUUGCACAAUGGGGGAAACCCUGAUGCAGCGACGCCGCGUGUGGGAAGACGGUCCUCUGCAUUGUAAACCACUGUCCCCAGGGACGAAGAUGCCGGUACCUGGGGAGGAAGCCCCGCCUAACUACGUGCCGGCAGCCGCGGUAAUCCGUAGGGAGCGAGCGUUGUCCGGAAUUACGGGGUGAAAAGGGGGCGUAGGCGGGACGGCAAGUUGGGUGUAAAAUCUACCGGCUCAACCGGUAGCCGCACUCAAAACUGCAGUUCUUGAGUGAAGUAGAGGCAGGCGGAAUUCCUAGUGUAGCGGUGAAAUGCGUAGAUAUUAGGAGGAACACCAGUGGCGAAGGCGGCCUGCUGGGCUUUUACUGACGCUGAGGCUCGAAGGUGUGGGGAGCAAACAGGAUUAGAUACCCGAGUAGUC